AGAUUGAACGCUGGCGGCAGGCCUAACACAUGCAAGUCGAGCGGUAGAGAGGUGCUUGCAUCUCUUGAGAGCGGCGGACGGGUGAGUAAUGCCUAGGAAUCUGCCUAGUGGUGGGGGAUAACGUUCGGAAACGGACGCUAAUACCGCAUACGUCCUACGGGAGAAAGCGGGGGACCUUCGGGCCUCGCGCCAUUAGAUGAGCCUAGGUCGGAUUAGCUAGUUGGUGAGGUAAUGGCUCACCAAGGCGACGAUCCGUAACUGGUCUGAGAGGAUGAUCAGUCACACUGGAACUGAGACACGGUCCAGACCUCCGUACGGGAGGCAGCAGG
rnacentral:rRNA from 1 species